rnacentral:lncRNA from 1 species
GAAUAACCGGAGCUCUCUGCAACGCUGAAAGAAACUGGCCAGCAACCUAGCUUAAAGGAUCCUCACAUCUGCGGCGACGACUCUGUGCACAGACCAAGGAAGGAGAAGCCGCCGGAGCCAGUAAAGUACUCCCUUGGUGGUCAAAUUCCGGAGGGCUAAAUGUGUGUGUGCAUGAAUGAUCACAAACAACCCUACCUGCGGUGCUGUUCAUGUGGAUGGUGACAAGACCUACUGCUGGGCAGAGUGCUGCCUUUGGACUUUCCAGUGCCUCAGCAUCAGCCUGGGGAUCAUGUUCUCAUCAAAGAAGGGAAAGAAGGGAAACUCGAGCCAGCCCGGGAAGGACCCUACCUCGUGCUGCUAACCACUGAGACUGCUGUUCGUAAGGUUGGAAAGGGAUGGACACAUCACACAUGAGUCAAGCAAGCACCAUUAUCCUCAGAAUCAUGGGCCAUUGUUCCUGGAUCAAGCCCUACCAAAUUAAAGCUAAGGAAAGCUUAGUCUAUCUAUCUUUUCCUUUCCCUUCCUUACCCAGUGCUUAUAUCCAUUACUAUCCCUACCACUAGCAACUCUAACCCCACUUUAGAACGCUUCUGUGGUUUAGGAGCAGAGGUCACUGGAAAGGAUCCUAUGGGCUUCUUUAAGGUGGGCUUUGUUCUCCCUCCUCCACCUCCUAUGGCUGCCCCUUUCCCAAACCUACAAAAUCAAACUAUGACUCACCUCAUGCCAAAUGACAAAAGCAAGGUCCCGGUAGUAGAAAUAUGAGACCUAAGGCAAACCAUAGCCAUUAAAACAGGGUAUAAAAAUGUAAAUGCCUGGUUAAAAUUGAUUAAAUAUUCUGUCCACAGGUUAAACAAAGGCAAUUUUUAUGCUUGUGCACAUGACAGGCCAGAAGCCCAGACUGUCCCCUUUCCACUAGGGUGGUCCUCUAGUUGACUGGGCAUGGCCUGCAUGGCAGAUCUUCCCCAGGAUUAUUCAGCCUGGGGUAACAAGUCGUGCCAAGCUCUCUCUCUGCUAUAUCCCAAAGUUCAGCACCCUGCGGGUCAGCCCCCAAGGGCCAUCCAGCUUCCAUCUCCCAACACUAAGUUCACUUCCUGUCUCUCAGGACCGGGAGGAAACUUAGCGUUCCUUGGAGACCUGAAGGGAUGCAGUGAGAUUAAGAAAUUUCAAGAGCUUACCAAUUAGCCCUUAUGCAUCCCUGAGCAGAUGUGUAGUGGUAUUAUGAUGGACCUUUACUGGACACUCUGCCGAGUAACUGAAGUGGCACUUGCUUUAGUCCAGUUGGCUAUCCCUUUCACCCUGGCAUUUCAUCAACCAGAGAAAGGAAAAAUAAGAUAUCAUAAAGCAAAAGAAGCCCCUUAUGGGUCUUUUGACUCUCACAUCUAUUUAGACAUAAUUACAGUCCCACAGGGAAUACCAGAUCAAUUUAAAGCCUGAAAUCAAAUAGCUGCAGGAUUUGAGUCAAUAUUUUGGUGGGUGACAAUAAAAUGUAAAUUGGAUAAACUACAUCUAUUACAACCAACAGCCAUCCAUUAACUACACUAGAGAUGCUGUUAAAGGAAUAGCUGAGCAAUUAGGGGCUACUAGCCAGAUGGCUUGGGAAAAAUAGGAUAGCCUUAGACAUGAUAUUAGCAGAAAAAGGAAGAAUUUGCAUCAUAAUUAAAAAUCAAUGUUGUACCUUCAUCCCAAACAACACCGCCCCUAAUGGAAGUAUAACAAAGGCAUUGCAAGGUGUGACUGCUCUAUCCCAUGAGUUAGCCAAUAACUCGGGGUAAAUGACCCCUUUACAGGAUGGCUAGAAAGGUGGCUCAGUAAAUGGAAAAGAAUAAUAGCCCCAAUUCUUACUUCCAUCACAGCCAUCAUAGGUGUGCUUAUUCUUGUCGGGUGUUGUGUCACACUAAGGAAGGAGACCGCUACAACUCCUGCUGCCCUCCUCCCACCACCUUGCCUAGUUCACAAGACAGGACGAAAGAGAGAAAGCAAAAAGCUGGAAAGAAGCAAAAGUAAGAUAAAUAGCCAGACAACCUUGGCACCACCACCUGGCCCUAGGAGUUAAAAAAGUAAUAAUAAUAACAUCAACCCCAGACCUAAACUACUUGUGUUAUCUGUAAAUUCCAGACAUUGUAUGAAAAAGCAUUGCAAAACUUUCUGUUCUGUUAGCUGAUGCAUGUAGCCCCCAGUCACGUUCCCCACGCUUGCUCGAUUUAUCACAACCUUUUCAUGUGGACCCCUUAGAGUUGGAAGCCUUUAAAAAGGCCAAGAAUUUAGUUUUCAGGGAGCUCAGCUCUCAAGAUGCAAGUCUGCCGAUGCUCUCAGCCAAGUAAACCUCUUCCUUCUUU